rnacentral:rRNA from 1 species
GAUGAACGCUGGCGGCGUGCCUAAUACAUGCAAGUCGAGCGAACGGACGAGAAGCUUGCUUCUCUGAUGUUAGCGGCGGACGGGUGAGUAACACGUGGAUAACCUACCUAUAAGACUGGGAUAACUUCGGGAAACCGGAGCUAAUACCGGAUAAUAUUUUGAACCGCAUGGUUCAAAAGUGAAAGACGGUCUUGCUGUCACUUAUAGAUGGAUCCGCUCUGCAUUAGCUAGUUGGUAAGGUAACGGCUUACCAAGGCAACGAUGCAUAGCCGACCUGAGAGGUUGAUCGGCCACACUGGAACUGAGACACGGUCCAGACUCCUACGGGAGGCAGCAGUAGGGAUUCUUCCGCAAUGGGCGAAAGCCUGACGGAGCAACGCCGCGUGAGUGAUGAAGGUCUUCGGAUCGUAAAACUCUGUUAUUAGGGAAGAACAUAUGUGUAAGUAACUGUGCACAUCUUGACGGUACCUAAACAGAAAGCCACGGCUAACUACGUG